CUUCUUUCUCUCUACAGUUCUUCCUCAACACCUUGUUUCUUUCUCUCGGUAGUUUUUGGUACGCAGGGGGAGGGCAAAAGGCCUAAAAACGCACUCUCUUAAGAGCAUUUCUACUGUAGGAGCCUAGCCCAGGUAAAAGGCCCAUAGGCCUUCAAAAGUGGUUCCAACGGAGACAUCCAGCUCGGGCAAGAGCUGGGGUUCAC
rnacentral:lncRNA from 1 species